AAUUGAGCCCUUAUAGUGACUAUUCAGUUCAUGUAUCCAAAAUUGAACUCAAAUUUGCUGACAGGGAAGUUUUAUGAAAUUAAAGUCAUUUCCUGAAGAAGGGCUUGCAGGGGGCUGGGGUUUUAAUCCAUUUCUACUAUGUAACUGACUUAAAAAUAGUAUCAUUUCCCCGAUAGUAGCGGUUAUGAAGAAAUUUGCAAUAAAUAUAAAAAGAAAUAACAAAAUUAUUAGUAGUUAAACCAUAUUCAUUGUACAUACAAAUGAAAUGCAUGACAUUUUUGCC